UACGUAGGAGGCAAGCGUUGUUCGGAAUUACUGGGCGUAAAGGGCGCGUAGGCGGCUUUGCAAGUCAGAUGUGAAAGCCCCGGGCUUAACUCGGGAAUUGCAUCUGAAACUGCUUUGAUUGAGUUCUGGAGGGGGUAGUGGAAUUCCCAGUGUAGCGGUGAAAUGCGUAGAUAUUGGGAGGAACACCUGCGGCGAAGGCGGCUACCUGGACAGUGACUGACGCUGAUGCGCGAAAGCUAGGGGAGCAAACGGG
rnacentral:rRNA from 1 species